GGAUGAACGCUAGCUACAGGCUUAACACAUGCAAGUCGAGGGGCAGCGGGAUUGAAGCUUGCUUCAAUUGCCGGCGACCGGCGCACGGGUGAGUAACGCGUAUCCAACCUUCCGUACACUCAGGGAUAGCCUUUCGAAAGAAAGAUUAAUACCUGAUGGUAUGAUGAGAUUGCAUGAUAGCAUCAUUAAAGAUUUAUCGGUGAUGGAUGGGGAUGCGUCUGAUUAGCUUGUUGGCGGGGUAACGGCCCACCAAGGCGACGAUCAGUAGGGGUUCUGAGAGGAAGGUCCCCCACAUUGGAACUGAGACACGGUCCAAACUCCUACGGGAGGCAGCAGUGAGGAAUAUUGGUCAAUGGACGAGAGUCUGAACCAGCCAAGUAGCGUGCAGGAUGACGGCCCUAUGGGUUGUAAACUGCUUUUAUAAGGGAAUAAAGUGAGUCUCGUGAGACUUUUUGCAUGUACCUUAUGAAUAAGGACCGGCUAAUUCCGUG
rnacentral:rRNA from 1 species